AUGAAGAAAGGAACGUUCAAUUUCCUGGGUCGGAAGAAUCCAUCUCUAUUCGACACCAAUGUGGAAAUCAGGGACAUGGAUAACACGGAGCUGGUGUUUAACACAGCUGCCAUCCCAGAAUCUGGAACCGCCAAAGUGCGCUCCCGUCCAACUGUCAAACACUUCAUGUCGCCUGAGAGUGCGCAUGGCUUUGCAGUUCCAACUCCCAUGGUACCGGUUCUUCCACCCUUCAGUGAACCCAAGUUAAACGGUACAGGAAGUACUACAAACCUCCUAAAUGGAAGGAUGCUUUCUGUCCCUGACCUACUCGAGGGGGAAAUACUUAUACCUCCUCCACCGAGCUCCGCUCCUCCACCCCCUCCAUCAUCUUCAGCCCCACCUCCUCCAUCAUUCAUCCCUCCCCCACCACAGUUCUUUGGUGAAAUGGACACCUCUUUAGAUUGUGCAAGCCUGGAUCGCCCUCCAGUGGCACCCCCAAAACCACAAUCACUUACCAGUUCCAAUUACAGUGCAGAUUUGGACCUGGCCUCCCUCAAACCUCCUCCAAUGCCUCCUCCAAAACCUCCAUCUGAAACUUCCAGCCUCAGAGGUUCCCUCCCUAGCCUUGAUGUCCAAGAUGUCCCAGAAUGCCCCAAGUUCAACCCACCACCACCUCCUGUUAAAACAUCACCUGUUCUUGAAAAAGCUCAGAAAGCAGCACCUCAAAAACCCAUCCGAGUGAACUCCAUACCUAAUCUGGACGUCCAAUCCCAAACUCCUGUGCCACUUGUUGCUUCCAGCCAAACACCAUCUAGCUUCAACCCUCAGAACACAGCUAAACUCUACCAGGUGCAGAAGAGCACACUACUUAGUGGACAGAUAGAUAGGGAAAAAAAAGUCCAGUCCAUUCUGCUGCUGGAAGAUUCAGCUGGAAACACAGUUGGUGUAGUAAAUGGGAAUAGUGGGAAAAAUGCUGAAUCAUUCCAACCAGGCGUGCCACCAACAAAACCAGCUCGUCGGAACAGUUCUGCCACUCAGCUAAUGGAUGACCAGCCAGACAUGGCACAAGCUCCAAGUGAACAAGCCAAGGUAGAGCCCAAAAUCAAUCCUGAGCCUGUAACACCACAAAACAUCCCCACUGAGGUACCAGCACCAAUCGAAGUCUCACCCAAAAUAGAGAAAAGAAUACCUGAUGUUAGGCAGGUGAUGACCCCAGUUGAGUCCCCUAGCAGGCCGCGCAAGAACAGCCCUAUCUUGAACCCCCGACAUCUCAACACACGGGGCGCAGACGGCUCAGUAAAGAAAGAGACCUCCAUCUCACCUUUCGCCUUGCUGAUGGCUGCAAAGGAAAGAGAAAGGCAGAGAACUGUUCUGUCCCAACGGAACAGCAACUCAGCAGAGCCAGUGACUUCUGUGAUCCAACCUAGUGUAGAAAAACCAAACUCCUUCACAGUAAUUCCUCAAGAGCCAACACCAGACAGUCCCAAUGCACAAUUAAAGUCGACCACAAACACGCAACCACUCACCUCACUUUCAACUAAAGUCGACGUUCCACAUGUGUCCUACUCAAAGCCAGAGCUAAGCUCAACCCCUCUACAAAGCCAAAUGAGCAGCUCUGUUAGUGGUCUGGGUGUCCCUGUUAAAGAUUUGAAAUCUGGAGAAGACUUGGUCUUCAUUCCUCCACCUCCUGAAUUUGCCAACACGGUUUCUGAGGAGGAACCUCCAGUUCCCCCACCAAGUCACCACGCUCCUGCUCCGCCUGUGAAAAGUGCCCCUCCACCUGCUAAAACCUUCUUACCUGCUACACCUUCUCCAAUUACCAACUGCCCCCCACCAAGUCACCCGGCUCCUGCAACCCCUGUAAAACUUGCCCCUCUGCCUUCUGAACCCUUACCUAUUCCAAUCACCAAUGGCUCUCUGCCAGGCCACCCUGCUCCUGCUCCAACACCUGCCAAACCCUCUCUACCUCCAACACCUCCACCUAUCACCAAUGGCCCCCUCGUUCCGCCCAAACCUAAACCACCUAGCUGUCCUCCCAAGGCCCCAGGACCUCCCCCAAAUAUCCAAACUCAACCCAAACCACCUUUUCAAACUAAACCUACUCAACCCACUGCACAAGUGCCUCCAUCCGUCUCUGCUAGCCAGGCGACACUUCUCAGUAUCCUGCAGAAGAAGAUGCUAGAGAUGGACCCCAAAUUCUCAGCUGUCAGGGAACAGGAGACUAACGGAGAUGACUGGAACUCUCCACUGUCUGAUGACGAGGCCACGUCUCCCGUUACCAAAUACAAUCCUAUGACAAACCGCAGUGCCACCCUGCCGGCGCAAACCUGUGGAUUGGACAUGAAGGAGCUAGAAAGCAAAGUGGCCAAAAAAGCUCAAAGUUUGGCCACUUCGACUAUAUCCCAGAACAGUAAUGGACAAUCAACCAAACAGCAGUUUGGAAUGACAUUCACUGUGACACCAGGAGCCAAACAACCAAUAACACCUGUUAUCAAAGACGGUUCGUCCUGAUCCAUUAUUCCAGAGAG
ensembl:lncRNA